rnacentral:rRNA from 1 species
UACGGGGGGGGCAAGCGUUGUUCGGAAUUACUGGGCGUAAAGGGCUCGUAGGCGGCCAACUAAGUCAUACGUGAAAUCCCUCGGCUUAACCGGGGAACUGCGUCUGAUACUGGAUGGCUUGAGAUUGGGAGAGGGAUGCGGAAUUCCAGGUGUAGCGGUGAAAUGCGUAGAUAUCUGGAGGAACACCGGUGGCGAAGGCGGCGACCUGGACCAACACUGACGCUGAGGAGCGAAAGCCAGGGGAUCAAACGGG